rnacentral:rRNA from 1 species
AUGGCGGAGGGGGGCGAGCGGGGGCGGUCGUGGUACCUCAGCAAGGAGGAGAUCGAGCAAGGGUCGCCGUCGAGGAAGGACGGCAUGCCCGCCGCCAGGGAGGCCCAUCUCCGGUCCAUCUACUCCAGCUACAUCCGCGACGUCGGCCGCAGGCUCGGGGUGCCCGACAUCACAAUCGCGACGGGCAUCGUGCUGUGCCACCGCUUCUAUCUCCACCAGUCCCUGCUCAAGAACGAGUGGCAGACUGUUGCAACUGCUUGCAUCUUUCUUGCUUCGAAGAUUGAAGACACUCCUUGCCAAUUAGGACGUGUUGUUACUGUGGCACAUGAAACAAUGUAUAAGAGAAAACCUGAUGCUGCUCGCAGAAUCAAACAGAAGGAGGUCCUUGAGAAGCGGAAGGACCUAAUUUUGAUGGGGGAGGCACUAUUGCUUUCAACCAUCAGGUUUGAUUUCAAUAUACAGCAUCCUUAUGAGCCACUAAAUCUCGCUCUCAAGAAUCUGGGGAUCUCCCAGAAGGAAGUGAAACAAGCUGCAAUAAAUCUCAUAAAUGAUACGCUUCGGACUACUUUGGUAGUGCAAUUUAAACCACACUACAUAGCUGCUGGAGCUCUCCAUAUUGCCGCCAAGUUUCAUGAUGUUACACUCCCUUCUGAACAAGGAAAAGUAUGGUGGCAUCAAUUCGAUGUUGCUCCAAAGCAGUUGCAAGCUGCUAUCCAGCAAAUGAAACAGGUCUUUAAUGAAAGAAACCAACGCCCCGCAGGUCCUGCUAUCGGGCCCAUUCAAGCUCCAGCUCCAGCUCCGGUGGAGAAACAGCAGGCAGUAAGAUUCCCGAAGCCAGCUCUGGUGGCAAAACAGCAGACAUUAAGCUUGCCAAAGCCAGCUCCGGUGGCAAAACAGCAGACACUAAGCUUACUGAAGCCAGCUCCAGUGGAGGAACAGCAGGCUGUAAGCUUCCUGAAGCCAGCUCCAUUGGCAAAACAGCAGAUAGUAAGCUCCCAGAAGCCUGCUCCGGUGGAGGAACAUCAGACAGUAAGGUCCCCAAAGCCUGCUCCAUUGGAGGAACAGCAGACAGUAAGCUCCCUGAAGCCAGCUCUGGUGGAGGAACGGCAGACACCUGCUCCGGCGGAGAAACAGCAGACAGCAAGCUCCCCGAAGCCUGCUCUGGCGGAGAAACAGCAGACAGCCAGCUCCCCGAAGCCUGCUCCGGCGGAGAAACAGCAGACAGCAAGCUCCCCGAAGCCUGCUCUGGCGGAGAAACAGCAGACAGCAAGCUCCCUGAAGCCUGCUCCGGCGGAGAAACAGCAGACAGUAAACUCCCCGAAGCCUGCUCCGGUGGAGAAACAGCAGAUUAUAAGCUUCCCAAUGCCUGUUCUGAAGUAUACAUAUUCAAGGAGAGGCCUAAGAAACACUACAGCUCCAACUGUAACUCCGACUCCAACUCUGGUGAAGAAACAGCAGAAAAUAAGCACCCCAGAUGGCCCUGUUUCGCAUGCCUUCUCUCCAAGGGGAGUCCUAAAUGGACCCACUUCAGCUCCAACUAUAACUCCAAACCCGAUGAAGAAACAGCAGGCAUUAAGCACCCUAGACUCUGUUCAGAGGCAAGCACACCCUUCAGUUGGAGGAGUUAAGCGCACUAGAUCUCCAGCUCAAGAUAGAACCCUGGUGAAGAAACAGAAGAUAAUAAGCGCCCCAAACUCUGUUGUGAGGCAUGCACGCCCUUCAGUUGUGGUAGUGAGGCCCACUGGAUCUCCAGCUCGAGCUAGAACCCCGGUGAAGAAAUCACAGAUAAUAAGCGCCCAAGACUCUGUUCCGAGGCAUACUCGCCCUUCAGUCGGCGGCGAAAGAAGGCCCAGUACAGCUCCAGCUCCAACUCCUGCUAGUGCUCUGGCGAGGAAACACCCAACAAUAAGCACCCCAGACUCUGUUCUGAGGCAUACAGAUCCUUCAAGGAAUGAAGACAGCAAGCCACUGCGAAUGCAUGUGGAUCAUAGCUUGAGUAGAACUGCCAAAGAUGGUAGGCUGGAGAAGCCAUCUUUCCAGGCAGCUCUAAACGCCAAUCAUGGCCACCAUGUCGGCAGCGGACCUAAAGAUGUAAAUAUGACAAGGGUCCCAAACUUGGUCGGACAGAAGAGAAGGAUCCAGGAGGCUGCUGGACAGCCUCCUGCUCCGGCUGAUAGAUGUGCUGGAGAUGCUUCGAGGAGGCCGCAGCUUCCAAGUUUGAUCGUCGCCCCACCGUCCUGGAAGAAACAGAAGAUCGAUGUUUAA